rnacentral:rRNA from 1 species
GGCGAACGCUGGCGGCGUGCUUAACACAUGCAAGUCGAACGGAAAGGCCCUGCUUUUGUGGGGUGCUCGAGUGGCGAACGGGUGAGUAACACGUGAGUAACCUGCCCUUGACUUUGGGAUAACUUCAGGAAACUGGGGCUAAUACCGGAUAGGAGCUCCUGCUGCAUGGUGGGGGUUGGAAAGUUUCGGCGGUUGGGGAUGGACUCGCGGCUUAUCAGCUUGUUGGUGGGGUAGUGGCUUACCAAGGCUUUGACGGGUAGCCGGCCUGAGAGGGUGACCGGCCACAUUGGGACUGAGAUACGGCCCAGACUCCUACGGGAGGCAGCAGUGGGGAAUAUUGCACAAUGGGCGGAAGCCUGAUGCAACAACGCCGCGUGCGGGAUGACGGCCUUCGGGUUGUAAACCGCUUUCGCCUGUGACGAAGCGUGAGUGACGGUAAUGGGUAAAGAAGCACCGGCUAACUACGUG